GGUCAUUGAGUCCAAAUUCAAAUAUUUUUUUUCAACUAUUCUUAAUUAUUAUUUUUUUCUUUUCUUAAUAUAAUUUAAGCAUUCAUAAAAAUAAUUGAAUUUUUUUAUUGAAAAAUAUAAAUCUUUAUUAAAAGUAUAUAAUUUUUUAAUUAAAAUAUUAACCCCAUGAUAAAAUUAAUUUAUCAGAGUUAUACCAACUUAAUUCAUUAAAAAAAUAAAGAUUAAUUUUUUAAACAUAAAUAGUCAUUUAAAAUGAAAUACAAUAAAUAAAUAUAAAAAGUUUAAGUCUUUUAUAAAAUAAAAUACAAAUAUAUGAAAAUAUGAUAUUUACUAAAUAUUUUUCAAUUGAAAAAAAAAACAAAAAUAAAUUCGCGCUUUGAAAACGCGGGUCAAAAUCUAGUUUUUUCUCAUUGUAGAAAGCUCUCUAUAGAUUCCAAUUCCUGGCUGAACAAACUUCAGUUACGUUUUGAUAGAGAGCGGAAGCUAAAUAAAAGGAUAGAAGUUGGGAAUACUCUUUUAUUUUUAUAUUUUUGGGUCAAAAGUUGGGAAUACUCUUCCCCGAGUUUUCGUGCUUAGAAAGCUCGUUAUUCUUCC
rnacentral:lncRNA from 1 species